rnacentral:rRNA from 1 species
UACGGAGGGAGCUAGCGUUAUUCGGAAUUACUGGGCGUAAAGCGCACGUAGGCGGCUUUGUAAGUUAGAGGUGAAAGCCUGGAGCUCAACUCCAGAAUUGCCUUUAAGACUGCAUCGCUUGAAUCCAGGAGAGGUGAGUGGAAUUCCGAGUGUAGAGGUGAAAUUCGUAGAUAUUCGGAAGAACACCAGUGGCGAAGGCGGCUCACUGGACUGGUAUUGACGCUGAGGUGGCGAAAAGCGUGGGGAGCAACAGG